rnacentral:rRNA from 1 species
UACGGAGGAUCCAAGCGUUAUCCGGAUUUAUUGGGUUUAAAGGGUGCGUAGGCGGAUUAGUAAGUCAGUGGUGAAAGCCUGCAGCUCAACUGUAGAACUGCCAUUGAUACUGCUAGUCUUGAGUAUAGUUGAGGAGGGCGGAAUAUGACAUGUAGCGGUGAAAUGCUUAGAUAUGUCAUAGAACACCGAUUGCGAAGGCAGCUCUCUAAGCUAUCACUGACGCUGAGGCACGAAAGCGUGGGUAGCAAACAGG